rnacentral:tRNA from 1 species
CCCAAAAUAGCUAAUUUAGAAGAGCGUUAGACUGAAGAUCUAAAGGUCUCUGGUUUAAUCCCGGGUUUCGGCA